UCGGCUCGAAUUUCUUCUUCUUCUUCCGCAUUUUCUCCAGAAAAUGUGAUGGCAGCUGCCUUUGCAGCUGCUGCUUGGAUAUCCUUAGGAGAAGAUGAAGAUGGACGUGGAUAUUGAUCAGCUAAAUGGGGGAAAUUAAGGUAAAUAGUGUGACCUUUGAUGGCUAAAGCCGCAACAUCAUGUGCUCGAGCUGCCAUUCGAGCCGUUGGAUAAGUACCUAACCAUAUUCUUGAUUUCUUUUUUGGCUCUCGAAUUUCCGACACCCAUUUGCCCCAACUCCUCUUACGUACUCCUCUAUAGGUUGGGUGUUUAUCAUCGUCACCAUUUCUCUUCUUUUUCUUCAUCUUUUCAUUUUUGUUAUUUUUAACGACUUCCUGAAUUUUCCUCAAGCUUUGGUACUUCUCCAAAAUUGGUGCAUUGCUCGGGGAAAAAGAAGAAGAUGAAGACAAUGACGAUGUCACGGUGCUUGAAGGGGAAUUCAAGCCAUUACAAGAAGAGUUAGAGAAGACAUCAUGAUGAUCAUGAUCG
rnacentral:lncRNA from 1 species